rnacentral:lncRNA from 1 species
AGAAUUCAGUUUCAAAGUGCGAGUUGAGGAUAACAUUCUGGCUUUCAGAAAUCAUAAAUAAUGAACGGCACAUUUGAGUCAUUAUCGGUGGUUAUCCCUCUUAGAGUCCUCUUUGGUGUGCUCCGACCUAAGGCACCCGUGGAGAAGGAGAAGGAGAUCUCAAGAGGAAAAAUCAAUGCAGGAACAAAGAAACUCUUGGGUCUAGUGAAGAGAGACUGGAUCUUGCUAGGCGAGUCAGGGAUGGGGAGCUGGAACUGGGAAAUGUUAAUUUGCAAGGGUCCCCUGUGUAGCAAGAGGAAACUGCACAUCCCUCUAGCCUGAACUCUGUCUUCAGAUCCCAGCUUCCUACACUCUCACCUGGAGAACUCCCCAAGUUCUUUCUUCUCCUUCAACAUUCCCAACAUCUGGGCUUCCUCUGGGUCCUGGUUUCAGAUGAUUUUCACAUGUCCAUUUCUUGCUUCUACCCUGGGUGAGUUAAAUUUGGAUGACAAUACCCAGAUCUUACAGUUUGAAGGAGAAUUAAAUGGAAUAAUAUGUGCAGAAGUGUUUCGUCAACAGCAAAGUGCAUUUAAAGGCAGAAUGUGCAUGUGAGACAGCCAAGUGUAAAGGGGUCCCCAGAGAAACUCCAACCGACCUGCACACUGGAAGGAGUGUGCACUGGGGUGGAGCCUCGGGAAGUUCCUGCCCUUUGCCGUAGGGAAGGAGCCUGGCCUCUCCUGUUCAGAGAUGGAAGCAGGAACUCAAUCUGUGAGGUGGGAAGCCUGUACUUGCAGGACUCUCACUCUGCUGAGUCCCUGUUUCCAGUUUUUCCCAUUUUUGCCCAAUAAAUUCUUUUUUUCUCACCCUUCACAGUGUUUGUGAGCCCAAUAUUUCACGGCCAUGUGACAAGGACCCAGCUCUUAGAUGAACUAAGGAGAAGGUACUACAACAUUUUUGGUGCUCAUAAUGUGAGGCUUGAGAAGGGCCAUGGAACUCCAACGGUCAUGCAACCAAAGCCUCUGAUAAUGGCGCCUUCUUCUGGGAACCCUUCGAUCAGCCUCGGAGGGAACGCUGACUGCCAUUUCCCCCAAAACAGCGCCCCCUACCAGCAGAAGGCAGUUAAGACUGGUCUUCAUCCUUGCGCUAAUCCUUAAUCUACGGGCAGUCAGAUGUCCUUCUUUAGAGGGGGAAUGAGACAGCCAGGCGGGAAAGGAUCCCUGGACAAACUCCCAGCUGGCCUGCUUACUGGGAAGAGCGUGCAUUGGGGUGGAGCCUUGGGAAGUUUGCGCUUUGCGGCUGGGGAGGAACCCAGCCUCUCCUGUUUGGUUGUGGAACCUGGGAUUCAAUCUGUGAGGCAGGACGCCCAGACUAGCAGGACUCGUGCUCUGCUAGAGUCCUUGUUUCCCCUUUUUUUCCUUUUCACCCAAUAAAUUCCAUUUUUCUCACCCUUCAAAGUAUCUGUGAGCCUAGUAUUUCAUGGCUGUGUGAUAAGGACCCAGCUCUUAGCUGAAAUAAGGAGAAAGUCCUACAGCAUAUACAUGAACUCCCCUCAACACCAAGUCUCAAUGUCCUAUUUAUUAUUAUGAGACCUGAUGUUUACUGACUGCUUACAACAUGUCAUGUAUUCCUCUCUACAUUUCAGGAGUAUAAAUAUUUGUUGAAGGAAUAAAUGAACUAAAUGAAUUAGUGUCCAUCACAUUAUGAAGUAGCUGUUCUAAUUGCAUUCAUUUUACAGUGAAUAAACUGAGGCACUGAUAGGUUGAAUAACUUUCCCAUGGCCACCCAACCAGAAGGGAGAGCAGGGUUUGAAUCAGGUCCUCUGCUUUAAACAAUUCUGCUCCUUUGUUUAAGGAAAUGAUACCACCAUUGAACCUGACACGUGGAAUAAAAGACUCAGAUUUAUCUCUUUUACUUCCAUCUCUGCCCCAAAUACCCCAGUAACAGAGUCAAGUUCUCCAGAUGACCCAUCAUUUCCCUCCCACUCCAGAUGCUGAGACCUGCUUAAAUCUAACUCAAACUCUCCCUCACCUCUCUCACCUGAACUCCUGCAUUAACUUCCUACCUGGCCACCCAGUAGUCUCUCUUCCCUCGAUCUAUUUUGUACACAGACAAAUCCAGCUGUGUACUUCUUUUGUUCAAGAUUUUAAUUCAUCCUGAAUGACUAAAUAAACUUAUGCUUCUUAAUUUUCCCAUUUAAUUCAGUUUAUGACUCUAUAGAUCACUGACCUACCUCCAAGGAUCUUCUUCUCCAGCCAAAUCCUGUUCUUCUUCCUCUUUGAACACUCCUGGGGCUUUAGCACUUCAUCCGUCCUCAUCCGCAUGGAUGUCCUCCUGGCUGGUCUGUCCUGUGAAAGCCUCUUCCACUAUUCCAUGCAGCCUUCUCAGAAUCCCUUCAGGCAGCAACAAAUCAGAAUUCCCUACAGAUAAAUGGCAAAAAAGCACAUGAAGUUCUCAGCUUCUUGUCAUCAGGAAGUUGCAAAUCACCAUUAUGAUGAAACUACUACAUACUUGUUAGAAUACCACAAUUCAAAAGACCACAAAUAGAAAAUGCCUGUGAGAAUGUUGAGCAACAAAAGCUCUCAUACCUUGUUGAUGUGCAAGAAGAAUGGUCCAUCUACUUUAGAAAAAUUCCUGAGGCUGGGCACAGUGGCUCACUCCUGUAAUCCCUGCACUUUGGGAGGUUGAGGUGAGAGGAUCACUUGAGGCUGGGAGCUCAAGAAAAUGUUCUGGCAGCUUUCUGAUGAAACUAAACAAUCUUAGCUGUUCUGUAACUAGGCAUUUACCCAAAAGAAAUGAAGAUGUAUGUUCAUUUCUUCUGACCUACCUCCAAGGAUCUUCUCCAACCAAAUCCUGUUCUUCUUCCUCUCUGAACACUCCUGGGGCUUUAGCACUUCAUCCGUCCUCAUCUGCAUGGAUGUCCUCCUGGCUGGUCUGUCCUGUGAAAGCCUCUUGCACUUGCACAAGAAUGCUCAUAACAGUUAUAUUCAAAAUAGACAAAAACUGGAAAUGGUUUAAGUGAUCAUCAAUAAAAGAAGAAGUGAACAAACUGAUACAUUCAUACAAUAGAAUUUUCCUCAGCAAAAAAGAAACAAAUUAUUGAUAUAUGCAAGACAUGUAUGAUUGGCAAAUAACAUUAUGCAGUGAAACAUAAGUCUUACAUGAAAGAGUACAUUUUAUAUGAAGUUUCUAUAGCAGGCAAAACUAAUCUAUGAUAGAAAAAUCAGAAUAGUGGUUACAUCCUUGGGAUGUAGGUGAGGGCUGGCUGAGAAGCAAUAUCAAGGCCUUUCUGGGGAGAUAGUGACAUUCUGUACCUUGAGAGAGGUUGGGUAACACAAGUUCAUAUAUUUAUCAAAACUCAUUGAAUGUAUACUUAAGACUUGCAUGUUUCAUUAUAUUUAAAUUUAUAGCAAGAGAAAAAAUGUGUAUAUGAAUAUUAAACUUCAAUUAAUCCUAUAAAUACUGAAGUUUUUAGGGAAAAAUGUGAUGAUGUGCAGUGUAUUUUGAAAUGCAUGAAAAAUAAGACGGUUUGGUGGACGGAUGGAGGGAGGGAUGAAUUGAUGGCUAGAUAUGGAAAAAGGCAAAUACAGUAAAAUGUUAGUAAUAGACUCUAGGAGGUUUGUCCGCAUAUGGACAUUCAUGAUAAAAUUCAACUUUGCUGUAUGUUGGGGAAUGUUUUGUAAUAAGAAUUUGGGAAAUAAAAGUUU